UACGAGUACCCCAAGCGUUAUCCGGAAUUAUUGGGCGUAAAGGGUGCGUAGGUGGUUGUGUUAGUCUUCUGUCAAAUUCUUCGGCUUAACCGAGGGCUCGCAGAGGAAACGGCACGACUAGAGGACGUGAGAGGUGUGCGGAACUCAUGGUGUAGGGGUGAAAUCCGUUGAUAUCAUGGGGAACACCGAAUGCGAAGGCAGCACACUGGCGCGCUCCUGACACUGAGGCACGAAAGCGUGGGUAGCGAAU
rnacentral:rRNA from 1 species